rnacentral:rRNA from 1 species
UACGUAGGGUGCUAGCGUUGUCCGGAAUCAUUGGGCGUAAAGAGCGCGUAGGCGGCCAGAUAAGUCCGGUGUGAAAGUCAAAGGCUCAACCUUUGAAUGCCGCUGGAAACUGUCUGGCUAGAGUCCGGGAGGGGCGAGUGGAAUUCCUGGUGUAGCGGUGAAAUGCGCAGAUAUCAGGAGGAACACCAAUGGCGAAGGCAGGUCUCUGGGCAUUAACUGACGCUGAGGAGCGAAAGCAUGGGGAGCGAACAGG